rnacentral:rRNA from 1 species
GGGAGUGCGGCAGCUACACAUGCAAGUCGAGCGAGAUCUUCGGAUCUAGCGGCGGACGGGUGAGUAACGCGUGGGAACGUACCCUCUUCUGCGGGAUAGCCACUGGAAACGGUGAGUAAUACCGCAUACGCCCUUCGGGGGAAAGAUUUAUCGGAGGAGGAUCGGCCCGCGUUGGAUUAGGUAGUUGGUGGGGUAAUGGCCUACCAAGCCUACGAUCCAUAGCUGGUUUUAGAGGAUGAUCAGCCACACUGGGACUGAGACACGGCCCAGACUCCUACGGGAGGCAGCAGUGGGGAAUCUUAGACAAUGGGCGCAAGCCUGAUCUAGCCAUGCCGCGUGAGUGACGAAGGCCUUAGGGUCGUAAAGCUCUUUCGCCUGUGAUGAUAAUGACAGUAGCAGGUAAAGAAACCCCGGCUAACUCCGUGCCAGCAGCCGCGGUAAUACGGAGGGGGUUAGCGUUGUUCGGAAUUACUGGGCGUAAAGCGCACGUAGGCGGAUUGGAAAGUAUGGGGUGAAAUCCCAGGGCUCAACCCUGGAACGGCCUCAUAAACUUCCAGUCUGGAGUUCGAGAGAGGUGAGUGGAAUUCCGAGUGUAGAGGUGAAAUUCGUAGAUAUUCGGAGGAACACCAGUGGCGAAGGCGGCUCACUGGCUCGAUACUGACGCUGAGGUGCGAAAGUGUGGGGAGCAAACAGGAUUAGAUACCCUGGUA